GACGAACGCUGGCGGCGUGCCUAAUACAUGCAAGUAGAACGCUGAAGGAGGAGCUUGCUUCUCUGGAUGAGUUGCGAACGGGUGAGUAACGCGUAGGUAACCUGCCUGGUAGCGGGGGAUAACUAUUGGAAACGAUAGCUAAUACCGCAUAAGAGUAGAUGUCGCAUGACAUUUGCUUAAAAGGUGCAAUUGCAUCACUACCAGAUGGACCUGCGUUGUAUUAGCUAGUUGGUGAGGUAACGGCUCACCAAGGCAACGAUACAUAGCCGACCUGAGAGGGGGGUCGGCCACACUGGGACUGAGACCAGGCCCAGACUCCUACGGGAGGCAGCAGUAGGGGAUCUUCGGCAAUGGACGGAAGUCUGACCGAGCAACGCCGCGUGAGUGAAGAAGGUUUUCGGAUCGUAAAGCUCUGUUGUAAGAGAAGAACGAGUGUGAGAGUGGAAAGUUCACACUGUGACGGUAUCUUACCAGAAAGGGACGGCUAACUACGUG
rnacentral:rRNA from 1 species